UAUUGUGAUUUACCUACACUGUGUAAUA
rnacentral:sRNA from 1 species